rnacentral:rRNA from 1 species
UUGUCUGCUUAAUUGCGAUAACGAACGAGACCUUAGUCUGCUAAAUAGUAGUGGUUACAUUUUUUGGCUGAAGCAUAGUGUAGAGAACGGUGAUUUAUCACAAGUUACUCGCUGUGUGAAAGUUUUUAUGAUAGUCAUCGACUUCUUAGAGAGACUCUUAUUCAGAAAAAUACAGGAAGUAAGGCAAUAACAGGUCUGUGAUGCCCUUAGAUGUUCUGGGCCGCACGCGCGCUACAAUGGUAUGUGUAAAGCGUAAAAAACUUUACAGGAAUGUCGGGUAAACCCGGAUUCCCUCUCUUAACUGGAAUAGAUGUUUGUAAUUAUUUGUCUUGAACGAGGAAUUUCUAGUAGUCGUGGUUCACUAAACCACGUCGAUUACGUCCCUGCCCUUUGUACACACCGCCCGUCGCUUCUACCGAUUGAAUGCUCCGGUGAAAUCGUCGGAUAAUUCUGUUUCAGAGGGGCAACCUUCAGAUACAUACGUAAAAGACGAGUAAACCAUAGUAUUUAGAGGAAGAAGAAGUCGUAACAAGGUCUCCGUAGGUGAACCUGCGGAGGGAUCAUUAAA